rnacentral:sRNA from 1 species
UUAUAGUUAAAAACAAACCAACAAACCAACCAACCCAGAGAACACUCAAAGAAACCAAGCGAAGUGCAGUUUAACAGUCAAGUCACGAGGACAUUGCAUGCGAACAGUACCAGUAGCAAUAGUAACAAUAUAAUAUGACGCUACACAUUUACAUUUCCACUCACACACAACAUCCAUCAAUCCUGUUACUCAGUGCUGCUCAGAGACCUGCUGCUGGCAGCUUGUAUCCUCACUCACUCUAAGUUUGUAACCAUGUUCAGAAGAAAUGGUCACUUAGUUUCCCUUCAGCAAAGCCCUAGUGCCCUAGGCGGCCCUGUUUGUUAAAUACAGCUUAAAUGUAGUUUUGAAAAGCUAAGCAACUCUAAGAAAUCGUGAGUGAGCAGAGUUUUAAUCUUCUGGUAGUCACGGCCAGUUACGGAGCUACAGUGCAGACAACGACCAUCACUGCUCCUGCGGGCAUUCCCAUGAGGAUCCUGUACUCCAGAGGAGCAGAGCACUCCCUGUACUGAAACUCCACUUCCAGUUUCCUGCAGUGAACUGCACCGGUAAGUGGGCAAUGCCCACCCUACCUUCCAUGUUCUGGCUUCAGGAAGGUUGUACUAGAUGAAUUCUUCUGAAAUAUGUGCUAAGGAUACUGAUUCCUCUUCUUCUUUUUCUAAAAUGGCUUCGCACUGUAGCCUUGGCUGCACUUUACUCUCUUUCAUAGACCAGGUUGGCUAUGUCACACUUCUGGUGAUCCUCCUGCCUCUGCCUCCCAGGUAUUGCACCAUUGCCUCUGACUUCUGGAUAUUACUUUUUAAAGCAAAAACCACCAGAUUUUGAAGAUGCAAUGACCAACUGAUACCAUGUAUUAAAUUCUAUUAGGUUUGAGAAAUUUAGUACUUCUAUUUUCUCAUGCCUUUAAAAAAUGGUAGUUAAAAUGUUUAUUUUUAUGUCCUACAAAUAUAUUUUAUUAUAACUAAAAAGUUAUUUUUUUCUACAUGUAAAUGUUUUCACAAUUUAAAGCAUUUCUAAUAAGUACAAACCAGAAAAAUAGAAACAAACACAGAAUACAAGAUAACAAGAAAAAAAAAGUAAAGUGUAGACUGAAUGAACAGAAGACUGGAUGCUUAGCUGUACUUUUUGAUAUAGUAUAUAUUUCAAGAAAACACCUCUAUAAAGACAUUAAUGAUGCUUAAGUGACAACCCAAGAUUAAAGAAUAUUAAAUGUCUGCAUGUUACAUAAAAACUGCCUAUACUUCAAAAUAAGAUGUGCAGAUUCAAUUUAAUAUUUAAUAAGUACUGUUGCAUAGUGUGGCUUAAAUCAGGAUUUAGUGUCAAAUAAAAUGAAUGCUGAAUGUGCUCUAAAUCACGAGAAGCUACGCAGUAGUGCUUUGGGAACCCCUUUUCUCUGCUGGUCUCUGCAUUUACACCUCUUCCUUUGGACUAAGGCCAUCUUCCAUGUCUAAAGACCUUUCCUUCAUUCUUUUUUUUUUUAGGUUCUCACAAAGUUCAGGCUGGCUGUGAAUUUACUAUAUAGCUGAGGGUGACCUUGAAUUCCUGAUUUUUCUGCUUCUGCCCCGCCCCCUGACAUGCACUACCAUACUUGUCUUUUUCCACUUGUUUAAGCUGCAUUUAAGGAUCCAGGGUGCAGACUAAACUGACAUGGCAUCUUAGUGAUGUCAUUCCCUCUAGAUCAAAUGCCUGUGAACACAGACAUACAAGUACUGUUGGCACCUGAUGUGUGGAACUCAGUGUAUACAUAUAACUAGAUAGAUAGCUCUGUGCAAACGAAUGGGCCAACAGAAUACACUUAAAUCUUCCAAUAUCCAUAAGGAAGAACAAAAUGCACUGGUAUAUUCAUGUUUAAGCUUAUCAUACCUGUAGGCUGUUGUUAUACAGCAGAUGUUAUAGCACAAUAAGCAAGAAGGUUCUCUGUGGUAUAUGACUGUCAUUUAUCUUUAAAGACACAGGUACCUGUGAUUUUAUCUCAUAAGAGUCCAGAGGUACCCAAAAUCAUUGUAAGAAACAAAAAUGUCACUACAUAUUCUAAAUACUUCCAACUAAGAUUCACUGUUUUUAUAAUGCUAUGUAUUUAUAUA